AGUGAACGCUGGCGGUAGGCCUAACACAUGCAAGUCGAACGGCAGCACAGUAAGAGCUUGCUCUUACGGGUGGCGAGUGGCGGACGGGUGAGGAAUACAUCGGAAUCUACUUUUUCGUGGGGGAUAACGUAGGGAAACUUACGCUAAUACCGCAUACGACCUACGGGUGAAAGCAGGGGAUCUUCGGACCUUGCGCGAUUGAGUGAGCCGAUGUCGGAUUAGCUAGUUGGCGGGGUAAAGGCCCACCAAGGCGACGAUCCGUAGCUGGUCUGAGAGGAUGGUCAGCCACACUGGAACUGAGACACGGUCCAGACUCCUACGGGAGGCAGCAGUGGGGAAUAUUGGACAAUGGGGGCAAGCCUGAUCUAGCCAUACCGCGUGGGUGAAGAAGGCCUUCGGGUUGUAAAGCCCUUUUGUUGGGAAAGAAAAGCAGCAGGUUAAUACCCCGCUGUUCUGACGGUACCCAAAGAAUAAGCACCGGCUAACUUCGUG
rnacentral:rRNA from 1 species